UACGGGGGGAGCAAGCGUUGUUCGGAUUUACUGGGCGUAAAGGGCGCGUAGGCGGCCACCGCAAGUCGACUGUGAAAUCUCCGGGCUUAACCCGGAAAGGUCAGCCGAUACUGCGGGGCUAGAGUGCAGGAGAGGAACGCAGAAUUCCAGGUGUAGCGGUGAAAUGCGUAGAUAUCUGGAGGAAUACCGGUGGCGAAGGCGGCGUUCUGGACUGCAACUGACACUGAUGAACGAAAGCCAGGGGAGCAAACGGG
rnacentral:rRNA from 1 species